AGUGAACGCUGGCGGUAGGCCUAACACAUGCAAGUCGAACGGCAGCACAGUAAGAGCUUGCUCUUACGGGUGGCGAGUGGCGGACGGGUGAGGAAUACAUCGGAAUCUACUUUUUCGUGGGUGAUAACGUAGGGAAACUUACGCUAAUACCGCAUACGACCUACGGGUGUAAGCAGGGUAUCUUCGGACCUUGCGCGAUUGAUUGAGCCGAUGUCGGAUUAGCUAGUUGGCGGGGUAAAGGCCCACCAAGGCGACGAUCCGUAGCUGGUCUGAGAGGAUGAUCAGCCACAGUGGAACUGAGACACGGUCCAGACUCCUACGGGAGGCAGAAGUGGGGAAUAUUGGACAAUGGGCGCAAGCCUGAUCCAGCCAUACCGCGUGGGUGAAGAAGGCCUUCGGGUUGUAAAGCCCUUUUGUUGGGAAAGAAAAGCAGCAGGUUAAUACCCCGCUGUUCUGACGGUACCCAAAGAAUAAGCACCGGCUAACUUCGUG
rnacentral:rRNA from 1 species